rfam:Jatropha curcas cultivar GZQX0401 scaffold5_123, whole genome shotgun sequence.
AAUGGUUUAAGAGAGCUUCCUUCAGUCCACUCAUGGAUGAGCGAAGGGUUUGAAUUAUCUGCCGACUCAUUCAUUCAAACGCAAUAGAAAAGGAUCGAGUAGUAGUAGUAAUUGCUAUUGUGACUGCGUGAAUGAUGCGGGAGAUAAAUUUCGAUCUUCUUUUCUCUGUGCUUGGACUGAAGGGAGCUCCCUUUCGCCGUUUC